ensembl:lncRNA
UGCAAACAAAAAGGAACAAAAAUGGACACAUGCACACCUCACAGUUCAUAUGGUAGAUACAAGCCUGGUCAUGUAUGAUAUACACAACUGCCUGGAAGCAUGGCCAAGAUGUCCACCACAGACUUUACUGUAAGAACUUGUAGAAUGAGUAAAUGCAUGGCAUGUAGCUAUGUGUGAAUGAUAAUGUAGCUAGCUAAUUCUAAAUCUUAUUACACAAUUGUUUGAAUAUCAUGUUUUUAAGCAUUGCUUAAUUAUUUCUUAUUGAUAAACCUGGUCAGGUUAGACCAUACCGGGCCAGCAAUGGCUCAGUGGUUAAGGCUCUGGAAAAUUCACAGUGGAUCCAGAUCCUAUGCGCGUGAGGUAGUAAUACACCAUUUAUGGGACCAUUGUCCAUUGCAGCUCACAUGCAUUCACACUUGUUUUGUUGGAAGAUUGGAGGAAACCAGAAAACACAGAGGAAAGCCAAUGCAGACACGGAAAACAUGCACAGAAACGCUCUGGAGCUGUGUGCCACAGUUUGACCCCUGGGCAAAACUCUCAGCUAACUCGUCCCUAACACACAGCAGCUACCAACCAGUGUGGGUAAGCAUCCAUCUUUUCAAACUCUUGGUCAUGCUGCUUCACAGGACAACAUAACACACUAUCUACCCUGUUCUGCAUACAUGAGCUCAAAUACUCCUGCAGUUGGCUAGUGUUGGAUUGUUUUUCAAUGCAGAAAAGGCAAAAAGUUCUCAGUACCGGGUCACAUCCACUGGAGCCAUGCUACUGAGACCAUAACUUUUGAUGAGUGUGACUGGAUAAAUUUCAGAAAAUGGUAUAAGGAUUUUGACUACAUUGUUAGAAUUGAUUUCUUUUCAC